rnacentral:rRNA from 1 species
UACAGAGGUCUCGAGCGUUAGGCGGAAUCACUGGGCUUAAAGCGUGUGUAGGCGGAUCGUUAAGUACCUUGUGAAAUCCCACGGCUUAACCGUGGAACUGCUUGGUAUACUGGCGGUCUUGAGCCAGCUAGGGGCUACCGGAACAAAUGGUGGAGCGGUGAAAUGCGUAGAUAUCGUCUGGAACGCCGAAGGUGAAAACAGCUCGCUGGGGCCGCGCUGACGCUGAGACACGAAAGCCAGGGGAGCGAACGGG